GAACGACAACAAAAAUUUUCAGAUCUGAAAUUUUUCUUUACAGAUUUCAGAUCUAAAUCUUAAUCUCAUGCAUAUGACGUGGCUCUGAUAUCAAUGUUGGGAUUUCAUGGUUUCAUGCAUGCAAAAAAUUUUAAAACAUAUAUGCAGUGGAAACUAAAAAAAUUUGGAUUAAAUUAUUUUAAUCUAAGCAUGCAUAAGAUCACAUCUUAAAACCAUAUAACAUGAUCUAUAUAUGUGAGAUAGGAUUCAGAUACAGAAAUCAAAUAGAGAAGAAUAAAUAUAGAAGAUCUAAUCUUCAUACCUUGGCACG
rnacentral:lncRNA from 1 species